rnacentral:rRNA from 1 species
CCUAGCGGCGGACGGGUGAGUAACACGUGGGCAACCUGCCUCAUAGAGAGGAAUAGCCUUCCGAAAGGGAGAUUAAUACCUCAUAACAUUGCAGUUUCGCAUGGAACAGCAAUUAAAGGAGUAAUCCGCUAUGAGAUGGGCCCGCGGCGCAUUAGCUAGUUGGUGAGGUAACGGCUCACCAAAGGCGACGAUGCGUAGCCGACCUGAGAGGGUGAUCGGCCACAUUGGGACUGAGACACGGCCCAGACUCCUACGGGAGGCAGCAGUGGGGAAUCUUCCGCAAUGGACGAAAGUCUGACGGAGCAACGCCGCGUGAGUGAAGAAGGUUUUUUCCGGAAUCGUAAAAACUCUGUUGUCAGAGAAGAACAAGUUGGAGAGUAACUGCUCCAGCCUUGACGGUAUCUGACCAGAAAGCCACGGCUAACUACGUGCCAGCAGCAGC